rnacentral:lncRNA from 1 species
AAUAACAAUAAAUGUCUCUGUCGCUCUGUGUAUCUCAGCCGCAGACCAGGCCGCCGACGGCGCUCCUCGCGCGGCAGCCGGGCCGGCCCGGGACUCUCCUCGCGGGGCCGGGGGCGGCGGCGGCGGGCUCGGCUGCGCUCUCGGGCCGCUCGGGGCUCUCGGCCGGCCGGGCCGCGCGGAGGGCGGACGGAGCGUGCGCGGGCGGCGGCGGCGCUCACACCAUGGCGCGGGGCCGGCCGUCAGGCCCCCGGGCGUCGCCCGCCGCCUCAGGCCCCGGCGCCCGCGCCCCGCGCCGCGCGCCUUGAGGACGGGCCCGGAGCGUGGGGCCGCGGCGGCGCCGAGAGUUGAGCGAGUGAGCGCGAGGCAGCGAGACAAAGAUAACCCGGGAGGCGGAGGCGGAGGCGGGGAGCGAGGCGGGGAGCGAGGUGGGGAGGGAGGGGGCGGCGGCGGCGCGGGAGGAGGAGAAACGGGACACCAAAAAUAUAUUCUGAGGAGAGAGAAAACAGCUCCCCCUUUCCUCCUCAGGCAGGAAAAACCGGCGGAAACGCACUCACACCCCUACCCUGCCGGGGAGGGCGCGGGCCGAGGCGCCCGCGCGGCGUGAAUAUUCAUCAGGGGUGGGGCCCGAACAAUGGCCGGGCCGGCGGGCAGUGCGGGCAGCGGCCCCGACACGACGCCCGGCGCCCAGGGUGCGGCCCCGGCGCUCGACCCCGCACGGCGCUCCCGAAAACAGCAGGAGCGGGGAGGAAACGGGCUGGGAUUUCCCCGGGGAGGAGCUGAGGUGGAGAAACGCCCCUACCUCGCGCUAACAACAAAUGACAGGAAACUGAGCUGGACCGACGCUAAGAGGACAGGGACCCUCGUGUCUCCCAGGGCAAGGUUGCGGGAUCCGCUGAGCAUCGCUGGGCUGCCGGGCCACAUCCAAAACAGCUCCUGUAAUUGCCUGGCGCUGCGCUCCCGGCUGCGCUCGGCUCUCUUUAAAUCUGUGUCUCUCCUACGCUGCUAUCCUCUAUAUCACCGUUGUGCCUGUUAUCUCCCACUUUAGAAUCAUUACCUAUUCUGGAAGUGCCUACACAGUGCAAGGCACUGGCUUAGCAAUUGCCUGGGAUAUCGGGAAGAUCGAGACAGCCUACCCUCAAAGAGUUUACACACUGAUAAUGGGCAUAAGACAGCUUCAUAAAUAACCACUAGUACAAAGCAGAACAGUGUCGAUUUUAGCAAGAUGGAAAGAGUACUAAACAGAUCUAGUGGAAAGUAUGCUGGAUUUGGGGCAAAAUUGAACUGGCUUUGAACCCUAGUUAUUUGUCCGUUGUGCAACCUUGCAUGUGUUUCUUCUGAGCCUCUCGUUCCUCUUCUGCAUACCAGAUGAAGACUGAAAAUGAGAAAAACAAGCAAGAGACAAGAGCCUAUGCCAGGGUAAUAAGGGGUGACAGGAGGUAUUAAUAUAAGAGGUCUUGAGACAGUAGAUUCUCUAAGGCUUGGCAUCUGAUACAAUACCAGAAGGCAGUGUAGACAAGAAGGUAAAAGAUUUGUUUGUGGUUCAGAAUUUGGGAGGAUGUCCACACUUGGGAAGAUGCUGUCACAACAGAGAAAAAGAUGGGAAUUACUAAAUGGUAGCAAGAAAGGAAGAUUUAGUUUUGAAACCAAAACCAAAGUCAAUUACCUUUUCAUGCAGGAGUGGUGUACACAUGCCCAGCUUGAAACUCCACUCUAGCACCCGGCAUCAGGGCCAUGUUUUCAAUUAACACCAUGUAUUAGCUUGGGCUGCCAUUACAAAAUACUAUAGCCUGGGUGGCUUAAAUAACAGAAAAUGUUUUCUCGCAGUUCUGGAGGCUACAAGUCCAAGAUCAAAGUUCUGGCCAACUCGAUUUCUGGUGAGGGUUCUCUUUCUGGCUAGCAGGCAGCCUCCUUCUGACUAUGUUUACACAUGGCCUUUCCUCAGUACAUGCUUGAGGAGAGAGAAUGAGCUCUCUGGUGUCUCUUACGAGGCACUAAUCCUAUCCAUCAGGGCCCCACCCUUAAGACCUUGCUUAACCUCAAUUACUUCCUUAGAGGCCCUGUCUCCAAACACAGCCACACUACGGAUUCGAGCUUCAACAAAUGAAUGGAGGGAUUGCGGGAGGGGACACAAGUGCUCAAUUCAUAAUAAGCUGUGUUUAGUACACUUGAGCCCAGGAGUUCAAGACCAACCUGGCCAACAUGGCGAAACCCCAUCUCUACUAAAAAUACAAAAAUUAGUCAGGCGCAGUGGUUCGCGCCUGUAGUUCCAGCUACUUGGGAGGCUGAGGCAAGAAAAUCGCUUGAACCCGGAAGGUAGAGGUUGCAGCGAACCCAGAUUGCACCACUGCACUGUACUGCACUCCACCCUGGGCAAUGGAGUGAGACUCUGAAAAAAGAAAAAAAAAAAAGGAAGAAAAGGGAGAGCAAGGAAGGAAGGCUGGCCAGUGCGGUGGCUCACGCCUGUAAUCCCAGCACUUUGGGAGGCCCAGGCAGGUGCCCGAGGUCAGAAGUUCGAGACCAGCCUGGCCAAUAUUUUUAGUAGAAACUCCGUCUCUACUAAAAAUACAAAAAUUAACCGGGCGUGGUGGUGCCUGCCUGUAGUCCCAGCUACUCGGGAGGCUGAGGCAGAAAAAUUGCUUGAACCCGGGAGGCAGAGGUUGCAGUGAGCCGAGAUCAUGGCACUGGGCUCCAGCCUGGGUGACAGAGAGAGACUCCAUCAGAAGAGAAAGAGAGACGGAGACAGAGAAAGAAGGAAAGCAAGAAAGUGAGACAUGUUAGGUGGAACCAGAAAGCAAAGCUGAGGCAGGGACCCAGUGUCACAAUUGAAGACAGAACCCAGAUGAUCAAUUAGAUCAAGUGAGAAACAGCCUAGCCUUGGCUCCCCAGAGUUUGGAUGGCAGACAAGCUUCUCCUGAGCUCGGCAGGCCAUGAGCUAUGAAUGCUCAUCUUCCUGGGAUACAGUGGACCAAACUGGCAGCCCUCUCGCACCCACGCACAAAUUCCAGAGAGAGCUUAAUAAUGCAAGAGCCUCAGGUGAACAGCAACAACCUCCUGUCCAUCACUUAUUGCCUAGGUUUUACAUUGUUGAAGAAUGUGGUGGGAAAUAGAUUUUCAACCUCAAAAUGGGGCAGGGUAAGGAGGGCAGGGGAUUGCAUAGAUAUAACUCGUUGAGGACUUAAGUCAACCAGAAAUAAAUAAUGAAAGUAUUGGUGAGCAAGCGUAAUGAGGCAAACAAGCAAAGAAAUGGUGGGGUGGGUUCAGAAAAAGCUUAAAAGGGAGGAGUGCAGACCUGACUUCUUACUCCCUGGUUGACAACUUGUUGAGCAAAUGCUUAUCCUCUCUGCCCCUCAGUUUUCUAACAUGUGAGAUUAGAGGAUUAGAUGAAAGGAUUGAAAGGUCCUCUGAGAGCCUUUGAGACACUGAUCUGUCCAACCCUGGCUUCAUCCCUAUGAUGGUUCAUAUCUCUUAGCCAGGAUGGAAGAGAGUGGCAUGAGUGAUGAAAGUUGUUAAUGGUACACGGAUAGUACUGUAGAUUUGGCAGCCAGGUUCAGCCCUUAAAAGACCAUCUAUGACCACUGGUAGAGUCAAAGUCUUUUUAACUAGUACCUCAGUUGAAUUAAAAGGAAGCAACUACUCUAGUGCACAACAGGAUGGAAGGCAUGGGAUGCAGAAACAGAUCAAAGGGCAGGAAAAGAAGAAGCAGACAGGGCAGCUCCAAUCCCCUACCCUAGCCACCAGAGCCAUGGACGUUGCCACGUCUGCCAAGAGGAAGUUAGCUUAGUUUGGGUUUCUCAAAGAUCCUGAAGCAAGGAUUUGGGUGAGUUUAUUUGGGAGAUGAUCACAGAAGCACAAAUCAAAGAGAAGGGCAAGUGAAGAAUGGGAUGAGCUAAUGAGUGUUAGUGAGCAGGUUACCUCUGCAGGCAGCUGGGCUAGAUGAACUUCGCUUGCUAGAAAACGUUUUAAAAAAACAAAUUUACCGUGUAUAUGUGUUCAUGGAAAAGAUUUUUGUGAACAUUUUAUAAAAAACAGAAUAGCCGGGCGCGGUGGCUCAAGCCUGUAAUCCUAGCACUUUGGGAGGCCGAGGCGGGCAGAUCACGAGGUCAGGAGAUGGAGACCAUCCUGGCUAACACGGUGAAACCCCGUCUCUACUAAAAAAUACAAAAAACUAGCCGGGCGAGGUGGCGGGCGCCUGUAGUCUCAGCUACUCGGGAGGCUGAGGCAGGAGAAUGGCGUAAACCCGGGAGGCGGAGCUUGCAGUGAGCUGAGAUCUGGCCACUGCACUCCAGCCUGGGCGGCAGAGCGAGCCUCCGUCUCCAAAAAAAAAAAAAAAAAAAAAAAAGCACAGAAUAAGCUGGGCAUGGUGGCUCACGCUUGUAAUCCUAACACUUUGGGAGGCUCAGGCAGGAGGAUUGCUUGAGCCCAGGAGUUCCAGACAACCGGGCAAGGUGGUGAGACCCGCCACACACAAA